UACGAAGGGGGGCUAGCGUUGCUCGGAAUCACUGGGCGUAAAGCGCACGUAGGCGGAUUGCUAAGUCAGGGGUGAAAUCCUGGAAGCUCAACUCCAGAACUGCCUUUGAUACUGGUGAUCUUGAGUCCGGGAGAGGUGAGUGGAACUGCGAGUGUAGAGGUGAAAUUCGUAGAUAUUCGCAAGAACACCAGUGGCGAAGG
rnacentral:rRNA from 1 species